AGCGCCGGGACUACGCCGGGUGAGAGCGGCUGGCGCCGCACUGUGGGCCCGGCGGGGUGCCU
rnacentral:sRNA from 23 species